rnacentral:rRNA from 2 species
GAGGAAGGUGGGGAUGACGUCAAGUCAUCAUGGCCCUUACGACCAGGGCUACACACGUGCUACAAUGGCAUAUACAAAGAGAAGCGACCUCGCGAGAGCAAGCGGACCUCAUAAAGUAUGUCGUAGUCCGGAUUGGAGUCUGCAACUCGACUCCAUGAAGUCGGAAUCGCUAGUAAUCGUAGAUCAGAAUGCUACGGUGAAUACGUUCCCGGGCCUUGUACACACCGCCCGUCACACCAUGGGAGUGGGUUGCAAAAGAAGUAGGUAGCUUAACCUUCGGGAGGGCGCUUACCACUUUGUGAUUCAUGACUGGGGUGAAGUCGUAACAAGGUAACCGUAGGGGAACCUGCGGUUGGAUCACCUCCUU